AGGGCCCUGCAGGAGGAGGAACAGCAGCUCCCCAAGCACACCCUCGUCCCGAUCCCUGCCACCUGCCAAUGGCACCCCAGGUCCAGAGGGGUGUGUGAUGAAGCUGAGGGUGCUGGGUCAUCCAGGGACUGUCUCUCGCCUUCAUUAUUUCCUCCCCAGCCUGCCCUGCUGACAUGCCAAGCCUGGCCUGGCCUGGCCUUGUGUCUCUGGGUCCACAUCAUUAAAUCCACGAUGUCAACAAGGGGAGGUGACGAGAGGUGGAGGAGGAAAAGGAGGUGAGAAGAAGUGGAGGAGAGGACAUGAAAAUUGAGGGGAGGACGCGGAGCUAAGGCCCUGAGGUCUUCAGGCUCUUUAAGGACCGGCGUUAAAUGGCGUCCCUGUUCCCUGCUGUCUCGGCCUUGCCUGGCGGGCAGAGCUGGAGAGAAGAGGGAACAAGCACCAGUCGAUGAAACCUAAAAGAGCCAGUUCUAGGGCGUCUCUCAGAAGCCACAUACAAAUGUUAGAAUGUCCCUGCAUGUCCCAUCCUUCCCUGGGGGGUUCUGCUCGGUCCGUCAAAUGCAGAUGACAGGCACAGGGGAGAAGAAUCCCCUGUGCUCCAUCCCAGCAGCCCCACAGAGACAGGAACCCAGGUCCCCAGGUCCCCUGCCAGGGCCCUCUGCUGUUUAAGGGACUUUCGGCAGGCCACUGGGUGCAACAACGGAGUCCUAGGAAUCGAGGACUUCACUGCUGCCACUGGCUGCUUCCAAUGCCCCCAACUCCCCUUCCUCACCCUCACCCCUCCCCAUAAAGUCAAAUACAUCCCCCACUUGACUAAGACCCCUGGGUCCCUCCAGCCUGUAAACCCCGUGUGCAAACGUCCUGACUCUUGCAAAUGUGUUAAAAAAUAAACCUUAAAAAGCUUCCAGA